rnacentral:rRNA from 1 species
GACGUAGGGUGCAAGCGUUAUUCGGAUUCACUGGGCGUAAAGGGUGCGCAGGCGGCCGAGUGUGUGAGGCGUGAAAGCCCGGGGCUUAACCCCGGAAUUGCACCUCAAACUACACGGCUAGAGCAUUGGAGAGGGUAGCAGAAUUCAUGGUGUAGCAGUGAAAUGCGUAGAUAUCAUGAGGAAUACCAGAGGCGAAGGCGGCUACCUGGACAAUUGCUGACGCUCAGGCACGAAAGCGUGGGGAGCAAAAGGG